rnacentral:rRNA from 1 species
AUACGUAGGGUGCAAGCGUUAAUCGGAAUUACUGGGCGUAAAGCGUGCGCAGGCGGUUUUGUAAGACAGAGGUGAAAUCCCCGGGCUCAACCUGGGAACUGCCUUUGUGACUGCAAAGCUAGAGUACGGCAGAGGGGGAUGGAAUUCCGCGUGUAGCAGUGAAAUGCGUAGAUAUGCGGAUGAACACCGAUGGCGAAGGCAAUCCCCUGGGCCUGUUCUGACGCUCAUGCACGAAAACGUGGGGAGCAAACAGGAUUAGAUACCCUGGUAGUCCACGCCCUAAACGAUGUCAACUGGUUGUUGGGGAUUUAUUUUCUCAGUAACGAAGCUAACGCGUGAAGUUGACCGCCUGGGGAGUACGGCCGCAAGGUUAAAACUCAAAUGAAUUGACGGGG